rnacentral:pre_miRNA from 1 species
AUAAACUAUUGCAAAAAGAGAGACCACAAGCGGGAUGAUGGAUCCGACCAUGAUGGUGUUGCAGAAACUUAUGUACGAGGUAGUUAUCCAGGGGUCGAAACACCAUCAUGGUCAGAUCCGUCAUCCCACUUAUGUUUUUUUAGGUCAACAAGGAUAU